AUCCUUCUGUAGUUCAUCAGCAUCAUGCCUGGGUUUUCACGUUCCUGUGUGAGAUGUGCCUCCCUCAAACCUUGUUAUGGCAUCGGCACAUUACCAAUCUGAUG
rnacentral:snoRNA from 2 species